rnacentral:pre_miRNA from 1 species
CAUCUACUCCCUCCGUUCCGAAUUACUUGUCUUAGAUUUGUCUAGAUACGAAUGUAUCUAGACUCAUUUUAAUGCUAGAUACAUCCGUAUCUAUACAAAUCUAAGACAAGUAAUUCGGAACAGAGGGAGUAGCUC